rnacentral:ncRNA from 2 species
GCCCGAUCAACAGCCUGAGGUGCCCCGCGAGGGGAGAAUCAGGGAAGCCGGUGAGAGUCCGGCACAGGGCCCGCUGCGGUGACCUGGGACUGCGUUCGCAGGACCCAGGAAGUCCGAAGACCGGCCUCGGGCUGUCAGCCAGG